UUAGAGAAUGCAGUGCAUUUGAUAGUGUAAUGGUAGUUAUCAAAUGCUAUACCUGCCAGGCAGUGAGAGGCUAGGUUAUGUUUUGGGGUUUCAUUUACUUGGUAAUAACCAAUAGAAUGUUAAUUCCCUUAUACCUAUAAUACUAAGCACUGUUACCAUUUUACAUUUGAUUUUCUAUAUUAUUUACAGUGAACUUAUAAAUUAGUGAUAUAAUUGGUACUUGAGUUAUAAGCAGUUUACAAGUGCUUAUCAGCUGGUCCUUCUGGUUUGGACUCCUGGUCAGCACCACUACCCCCCUUCACAGAUGGUCCUGUUCUCCUCCUCCCUUUAGUGUUCCAUCACCUGUCAUAUUCCUUAGUUAAAUCAGGUGGUGACUGACACUCUGGGAAACCUAAACCAUCCUUUGACCUGUUGGUAGCAAACAGCAAGAGUUUUGGAGCAAAAGGAGAACUGGGGAUGUACUAAAGAGAAUGACAUAGAGACGACACAGUCUUUACUUUUGCUACUUCAGGCAUAGGAAGUCUGCCAGGGAAGCAGGCAUAUGGACGCAUAGGUAUUUUGUUGCUUCAUCUGAAAUAUUCCUACAGGUGCUGAAGCAUGUGAAUGGCCAGGAUCAGAUUGUGCCUGGUCUGUAUGCCUGUGGGGAGGCUGCCUGCGCCUCAGUGCAUGGUGCCAACCGGCUUGGAGCAAAUUCUCUCUUGGACCUUGUAGUCUUUGGCAGAGCCUGUGCCCUGAGCAUUGCAGAAUCUUGCAGGCCUGGUAUGUGUUCUCUUCCAGCUCUCAAGCCAUUCUAGGAGCCUGCAUAGUCUUUAUUUGUUGCUGAAAAUUUGUUUAGUGAUCAUAGAGGAAAUCUGCUUUUUCCCAUAGAAACAGAAUUGAUGUUGAGAUUACUUCUGUGAAAUAUUAAUAGUCAAAAAAUUUAAUUUUAUUUGUAAUUUGUUUUUUACACUUUAUAUUCCAUUCCCCACCCUUCCCAUCCACCAUCCGACUGCUCCACAUUCCACACCUCCUCCCCACCCCACCUCAUCUCCACGUGGAUGCCCCCACCCAACACCCCACCUGACCUCUAAACUCCCUGGGGCUUCCAGUCUCUUAAGGGUUAGCUGCUUCAUCUCUGAAUGAACACAGACCUGGAAGUCCUCUACUGUAUGUGUGUUGGGGGUCUCAUAUGAGCUGAUGUAUGCUUCCUGUUUGGUGGUCCAGUGUUUGAGAGAUCUUGGGGGUCCAGAUUAAUUGAGACUGCUGGUCCUCCUACAUGGUUGUCCUCCCCUCAGCUUCUUUAAGCCUUCCCUAAUUCAGCAACAGGGGUCAGCUGCUUUUUUAAGACACAGUUCACUGUAUAGCCAAGGUUGGCCCAGAACUUGAUAAAUCAGCCAGGCUGGCCCUGAAUUCAUAGAUAUCAACCUGCCUCUGUUUCCUGGCUUGGUUGAUUUAUGUCCUUAAGACACUGUUAAGAAAUUGGUAUUUUGCCGGGCAGUGGUGGCAAGUGCCUUUAAUCCCAGCAGUAGGGAGGUAGAGGCAGGUGGAUCAUUAUGAAUUCAAUGUCAGCAUGGUCUACAGAGUUCCAGGACAGCCAGGGCCACACAGAGAAACUCUGUCUUGAAAAGCUGAAAAUAAAAAUAAAAAUAAAAAAGAAAUUGGUAUUUUGAGGGAAAGUUGAUUACAUAUUAUUUGUCUGUUAUAAAUUAUGUUUGCAGUCCAAUAUUAAUAGUAAAAAUGAAUCUGUAACUUCUUGGUAAUUGUAGAAAAAUUUUAGACUGUUUUAAAAACAAGAUUUAGAAUUCCAUUUAUAAAAGAAUGACAUAGUCCUACCCCACAGGGAUAGAAAGAAUUUCAGUUGAGGUUUUCUUAUGGUAGCUUAAAACUGUAAAAGAAAAAUGUACCUUGUGUUGGAGUGUAGUUUUGUUUGUACACACCAGAACCAGGAGGUUACUAGAGCGCCAGCCUCUAAGGAGCCUUCAUGGUAGCUGUUUUGUCUGUUUUCUUAGAAUAGCAGUAUGAAAUAAUACCUCAUGAGGAGGCAUAGAGAUCCCUCUCCCUGUUCCAUCCAUUUUUCUUUCCUCUGUUACUUGUGGAUGUCAGUUGUAGUUGAUAUAGAGCGGGUGCGUUCUGGAUGAACAGUAGUGAUGGUGCAGAGACCAGCACAUCCUUGCCUCACUGGUAAAGAGAAAGGUUUGGGUAAUCAUUUUACAUAUUUUACAUAUCUUCACACUCCUAGUCAUACCAUAGCACAAGUCUAAAUGUGAAGACAGUUCCUGGUCCUUAGUGCUGUCCAGUUGCAUAAGCAGGGCUCAAAGGAUCUUCUCCGACACCAAAUGUAGCCUUUGGGAGGGUCAAAAGCUCAUCUAGAGCAAAGUGGAGACUCAGAUUCCCUGCUUUGAGAAUGAGAAAAAUUGUUUUAAAAGAAUAGAUUAUACUUUUAUAGGCAAAGGUUCUACAAAUACAUUAAGAAUUUUUAAAUUCAGCAAUGAAAGGACUAAAUGUUUAGAGUAAGACUCAAAAGACUGCACAUGUGUUUUUAAUUCUGGAAAUUGCAAGCUGUAAGGCAGAAACAGAUCAUGGUUGCUAGGCUGGGCUAGUGGGGGUUUUACUUAAACAUGACUCUAUUUGCCAAAACCUGAAAAGCUCUAC
rnacentral:lncRNA from 1 species